CUACGGGAGGCAGCAGUGAGGAAUAUUGGGCAAUGGGCAAACGCCUGACCCAGCAACGCCGCGUGGAGGAUGAAGGUUUUUGGAUUGUAAACUCCUUUUGUGGGGGAAGAGUGAGGACGGUACCCCAAGAAUAAGUCACGGCUAACUACGUGCCAGCAGCCGCGGUAAUACGUAGGUGACAAGCGUUAUCCGGAAUUAUUGGGCGUAAAGCGCCCGCAGGCGGCUGUUCAAGUCUGACGUGAAAUCGCUCGGCUUAACUGGGCGGGGUCGUUGGAAACUGAAUAGCUUGAGGCAAGGAGAGGGGCGUGGAAUUCCCGGUGUAGUGGUGGAAUGCGUAGAUAUCGGGAGGAACAUCAGUGGCGCAAGCGGCGCCCUGGCCUUAGCCUGACGCUCAGGGGCGAAAGCGUGGGGAGCGAACGGGAUUAGAAACCCUUGUAGUCC
rnacentral:rRNA from 1 species